ACUGCUCAGUAACACGUGGACAACCUGCCCUUAGGUUGGGUAUAAACCCGGGAAACUGGGUAUAAUACCCGAUAGGUCUCGAUUGCUGGAAUGCAUCGAGAUUUAAAGCUCCGGCGCCUAAGGAUGGGUCUGCGGCCUAUCAGGUAGUAGUGGGUGUAGCGUACCUACUAGCCUACGACGGGUACGGGUUGUGAGAGCAAGAGCCCGGAGAUGGAUUCUGAGACACGAAUCCAGGCCCUACGGGGUGCAGCAGGCGCGAAAACUUUACAAUGCUGGCAACAGCGAUAAGGGAACCUCGAGUGCCAGGUUACAAAUCUGGCUGUCGAGAUGCCUAAAAAGCAUUUCAUAGCAAGGGCCGGGCAAGACCGGUGCCAGCCGCCGCGGUAACACCGGCGGCUCGAGUGGUAACCGUUAUUAUUGGGUCUAAAGGGUCUGUAGCCGGCCGGAUAAGUCUCUUGAGAAAUCUGGCAGCUUAACUGUCAGGCUUUCAGGAGAUACUGUCUGGCUCGAGGCCGGGAGAGGUGAGAGGUACUUCAGGGGUAGGGGUGAAAUCUUGUAAUCCUUGAAGGACCACCAGUGGCGAAGGCGUCUCACCAGAACGGACCUGACGGCAAGGGACAAAAGCUAGGGGCACGAACCGGAUUAGAUACCCGGGUAGUCCUAGCCGUAAACGAUACUCGCUAGGUGUCGGCCACGGUGCGACCGUUGUCGGUGCCGUAGGGAAGCCGUGAAGCGAGCCACCUGGGAAGUACGGCCGCAAGGCUGAAACUUAAAGGAAUUGGCGGGGGAGCAC
rnacentral:rRNA from 1 species